rnacentral:lncRNA from 1 species
CUUUAUACUUAUACAUUUUAAAUUUUAUAAUUUUUCGAUAUUAUUUGCUUAAUAAUUAAACUGCCUCAAAAUAAACGAUUAAAAAUAAGAAAUUUAUAAAAAAUAUUGAUAGACGGCUGAAAAUUUAGAUUGCUAAUACUUAAUUAUAUUGCUUUAGAUAGUAAAAAAAAAUAUUCUCUCAAAAUUUUAUAUAAUUUGGAUAUUUCUAUAUCAUUAAACUUGUAAUUACUUUUCAUCGAUAAUUAAAAUAAUUAAUUUUUAAAAUAUAUUGAUCAUUUGGUGAGUAGUAUAAAAUAAAUAUGAAAUUUGACUUUUUGAUGCUUGAAAUAGUAUAAGAAGUGGGACAGAACGAAUUGUUGAUUUUCACGCUCAAUCAUCAUCGUAAAAAAAAAAAGAGUAAACUAUAAAGAACAUCAUGCUUUUAGAAGCAUAGUAAUCUCUCUCUCUACAUGGACAGCCCACAAUCUGUCCUUUUUUUGUAUUAUAUUAUAGAAUUAAUUUCACAUAGAUUUUUGCAAAUAUAGUAAAUUAUAAAUAUAUUUCUAUAAAGUUCAACUUUCGUAUAUUUUUAAUAUAAAAAUUUUAAUAUUUUCAAAUAUGUUCCUCUGAUUUAUUACCAUUAAAGUACUGUUUAUUUCAUAAGUAAAAUAAAUUUUUUUGCCAUGACAGAUAUAUUCCUCCAAAAAUUUCAACUGUUAAUUAAAGAAGGGUAAAAAAGUCAAUUCACCUCAUUAACUAACUAAUAUUAAGUACUUAAUGUAUGGUUAACUAAAUUUUUUUAACCGAUUCUAACGACAAGAACAUGUUUGAAAAUAUCAGGAGUUUUGCAGGAACAACAUAUAAAAGUUGAACUUUAUAGGGAUAUAUUUAUAAUUCAUCAUGUUUUCAGGAACUUGUAUGUAAUUAACCCUAUAUUUAUAUUAGGAGGUGUAUUUUUUUGUAUAUGA